rnacentral:rRNA from 1 species
CACGUAGGGUGCGAGCGUUGUCCGGAAUUAUUGGGCGUAAAGAGCUCGUAGGCGGUGUGUCGCGUCGGCCGUGAAAACCUGGGGCUUAACUCUGGGCUUGCGGUCGAUACGGGCAUCACUGGAGUUCGGCAGGGGAGACUGGAAUUCCUGGUGUAGCGGUGAAAUGCGCAGAUAUCAGGAGGAACACCGGUGGCGAAGGCGGGACUCUGGGCCGAUACUGACGCUGAGGAGCGAAAGCGUGGGGAGCGAACAGG